rnacentral:rRNA from 1 species
GAUCCUGGCUCGGGAUGAACGCUAGCGGCAGGCUUAACACAUGCAAGUCGAGGGGCAGCAUAAUGGAUAGCAAUACCUAUGGUGGCGACCGGCGCACGGGUCGCGUAACGCGUAUGCAACCUACCUUUAACAGGGGGAUAACACUGAGAAAUUGGUACUAAUACCCCAUAAUAUCAUAGAAGGCAUCUUUUAUGGUUGAAAAUUCCGAUGGUUAGAGAUGGGCAUGCGUUGUAUUAG